GACGAACGCUGGCGGCGUGCUUAACACAUGCAAGUCGAACGGUGAAGCGCCUUCCUUUUUGGUGGGUGUGGAUGAGUGGCGAACGGGUGAGUAACACGUGAGUAACCUGCCCCCUUCUUCUGGAUAACCGCAUGAAAGUGUGGCUAAUACGGGAUAUUCUGGGUCUGUCGCAUGAUGGGUCUGGGACAGAUAUUGUUUCGGUGGGGGAUGGGCUCGCGGCCUAUCAGCUUGUUGGUGGGGUGAUGGCCUACCAAGGCGGUGACGGGUAGCCGGCCUGAGAGGGUGGACGGUCACACUGGGACUGAGACACGGCCCGGACUCCUACGGGAGGCAGCAGUGGGGAAUAUUGCACAAUGGGCGCAAGCCUGAUGCAGCGACGCCGCGUGAGGGAUGGAGGCCUUCGGGUUGUGAACCUCUUUCGCCAGUGAAGCAGGCCUGCCUCGUUUGUGGGUGGGUUGACGGUAGCUGGAUAAGAAGCGCCGGCUAACUACGUG
rnacentral:rRNA from 1 species